GAGUUUGAUCCUGGCUCAGGAUGAACGCUGGCGGCGUGCCUAAUGCAUGCAAGUCGAACGCACACCUUCGGGUGUGAGUGGCGGACGGCUGAGGAACACGUGGGUAACCUGCCCCGCAGUGGGGGAUAACACGUCGAAAGAUGUGCUAAUCCCGCAUACGAUCCUUCGGGAGGAAAGCAGCAAUGCGCUGUGGGAGGGGCCUGCGGCCCAUCAGGUAGUUGGUGUGGUAACGGCGCACCAAGCCAAUGACGGGUACCUGGUCUGAGAGGACGACCAGGCAGACUGGGACUGAGACACGGCCCAGACUCCUACGGGAGGCAGCAGCAAGGAAUUUUCGGCAAUGGGCGAGAGCCUGACCGAGCAACGCCGCGUGCAGGAUGACGGCCUUCGGGUUGUAAACUGCUUUUGGAUGGGACGAUAAUGACGGUACCAUCCGAAUAAGCCCCGGCUAACUCCGUG
rnacentral:rRNA from 1 species